GACGAACGCUGGCGGCGUGCUUAACACAUGCAAGUCGAGCGGUAAGGCCCUUUCGGGGGUACACGAGCGGCGAACGGGUGAGUAACACGUGGGUGACCUGCCCUUAGCUCUGGGAUAAGCCUGGGAAACUGGGUCUAAUACCGGAUAUGACUCCAUGACGCAUGUUGUGGGGUGGAAAGCCUUGUGCGGCUAGGGAUGGGCCCGCGGCCUAUCAGCUUGUUGGUGGGGUGAUGGCCUACCAAGGCGACGACGGGUAGCCGGCCUGAGAGGCGACCGGCCACACUGGGACUGAGACACGGCCCAGACUCCUACGGGA
rnacentral:rRNA from 1 species